CGUGAGUCAAGCCGUCACCGCCAUGCCAUCAUCGCGCCGUGGAUCUGCUCCGUCACCGAACUGAGCUAUAGGUGAAGGGUCAGAACGCGACGGGAAAGGGAGACUGUCUCGCCGUCAGAGCUGUGUCACCGUCGUGAACCGCCGCCGUUCUGGCUGUCGAAAGCCACCACCGCGCCUUGUCAUCACCAGAGUUGCCACCACCGCUUCUCACCGCCGAGGGUAAGCCUUGCCUACGUUGCUGCCUUCCGGGCCAGAUUCACCGAUUAAUGCUACCAUCGUCAUUGGCUUGCCAUUUCUGCUCGGUUGUGCCCUUAUUCGCCGUUCUGAUUGUUGAAAGGAAAUGUUGUCAAAGCUAUAGCUUCUCCGUUCCCAUUCUCUUGUUUCUUUUCUAAGAGUGCUUGGAAUACAAAUCAUGAUGUAGCUGCUGCAGAAUAAGGUGAAAAGAGGGUUUAUUGCGUUAAAAUCGCUGCGAGUUUGAUUCUUUGAGGAACCGAAUGAAGAAGCACUAAGAAGAGUUAUACUGCGUUUGGUUUAUAUGUUGUUGUAUUAAUUAGAUUAUUUUCUUCCAUCGUCUUUGUUAUUACAAUUUUGUAAGAGGGAUAGGAGU